AACGAACGCUGGCGGCGUGCCUAACACAUGCAAGUCGAGCGGAGAUAAUAGCAAUAUUAUCUUAGCGGCGGACGGGUGAGUAACGCGUGGGUAACCUGCCUUAUACAGGGGGAUAACACAGGGAAACUUGUGCUAAUACCGCAUAAUACCAUUGGGUGGCAUCAUCUGAUGGUCAAAGGAGUAAUCCGGUAUAAGAUGGACCCGCGUCCGAUUAGCUAGUUGGAGGUGUAACGGAUCACCAAGAAGACGAUCGGUAGCCGAACUGAGAGGUUGAUCGGCCACAUUGGAAGUGAUACACGGCCCAGGCACCUACGGGAGGCAGCAGUGGGGAAUAUUGCGCAAGGGGUGAAACCCGGACGCAGCAACGCCGCGUGAAGGAUGAAGGUUUUCGGAUUGUAAACUUCUUUAGUCGGGGACGAACAAAUGACGGUACCCGAAGAAUAAGCCACGGCUAACUACGUGCCAGCCGCCGCCGUAACAC
rnacentral:rRNA from 1 species